UCUAGAGGAGUUGAUAGAAAAUGAGUUGUCACUGAAGAGAAACAGGCAGUUGAAAGUUUCCGGAAAGGUUACAUUUUUGCAGGAAAAGACGAUAAAUGAUCAUUUCUUCUAUUUUUAAAUUUUCCACUAGCCCCACUGUUCGGAUGCUCAAGCUCAAUAUCAUGCAUAUUGCUUGUGUUUCUGUAUGGCAUUUUCAAUUCUUUUCCUGGAUGCCAAAUGCAUGAAAAAUUCAAAUAACUUCCCUUGACCUUCCUUUCUCUUGCCCAGCACCCAAGAACUAACUACUCGUUGGAUACUAGGAAGGUUAAUCUAGUCAAAAAAAAAUUUCUUGUGUUUGUUUGGUUGAAUAAAAUUUUUAAAGGAAAAUAGCUGGUGGUUGAAAAAAAAAAUGUGCAGUUUAAAUUUCCUCGUGAACUUCCUAUAUAUUUGUACUGGAAACAUUUUUUUCCCCUCCAGAAAAGUAUUUUCAAUUAUUAUCUUUUUACCCUACACAAAAAAUUAUAAAUGUGAAUUUUUUUGAAAUAUUCAUUUAUUUAUUUAUUUAUAUAUAUAUAUUUUGGCCAAACUGAAAUUAGUCUUUUGCUGAAAAUUUUAAUAAAUGUGAUAAUUCAAUGAUUUUGGUGCCUUUUUAUUAAAAUGUUCUUUGGGCAAUCUAUGCCAAGUUAACGAGUAAGACUAGAAUGUCUAUAUAGAAUUGGAACUCUCUUCAGUUUUGCCUAGUUCAAUGAGAAUGAUUAGAUGGUUUGAAAUUCGUGCAAAAAGGAAGAGUGUCUAAAAGUAAAUAGACUAUAAAUUCUUGUCUACUUUCAUGAAGUUGAAUGCCCGUGUGGUUUGGAAUUCCUACAAAAAGAAAGGGAGAGGUUUGGUUACAUAUUUGAAGAGAGAAGGGUAGAUUUGUCAAAAAGUUCAAAAGUUGGACAUGAUUGAUUAGUGUUUCCAAUGCUUGUACGGGACCCUUUUUUUAACUUAUGUGGCCGUCUAGUAGCUUGAGACUGAAUUGAGUGAGUCAGUGCGGCAGGUUGAAGGAGCUAACAUGCAUUUUUCUGGCAUUUUCCCUUACCGGUGUUUUUAAUUUUAAUUUUUUAAUUUUUUUUUAAAUGAAAUGUGGGCUGCCCCUCCAGAGAAAGUUGACAUAAUUCAUUUCUCUCCAAGUGUUCUAUGGGGGGGGGGGGCUUCCUGCACUUAUCUUUUUCAUUCUUAUAAUAAGAAUAUUUAGGUGUUUCAUUAUCCCCUCUCCGAAGGCUAAGGCCCUGUUCUCUUCGUAUUUCGGUUUUGUAUUUUUGAGUUUUGAAUUCAUUUUGGGUUUUGUGUUUUGAGUGCCUGUUUCGAAAUUGUUGAAAAUACGUUCUUUUUGUCACUCUACAAAAUUGUUUCUCAAAACACAAAAAUGGAAAACACGUUUGUUUUGAAAUUUUGAGAACGUCACCACCAGCCACCACUGCCAACCAAAAUCAACGCAACCACCAUUGACAUCGUCGAAAAUCACCAUUGUCGACCGUCACCACCAUCAUGAACCAUCACCAUCAACCAAAAUCACCACCACCACCACCAUGAACUAUCAACCAAAAUCAAUCAUUGCCACCGCCAAAAUCAACCACAAUCAACACCACCAUGAACCAUCAACCAUUGCAACCGCCACCGCCAUCAUCAUCAACCACUGUCAAAACUACCAAAAUCAACAUUAUAAGUAGAGGGGGAAAAGCAGAAAACGAAGAAGAAAGGGGAGAAACACAGAAACCAAAAUCAACGCCCAAAUCAACACCACCACCAUCACAAUCAGACAUCGAAGAGAGAGGAGAUGGAGACGGGCAAACGGAUCUGUCGCGACGCUGCAGUGAACUGUCGCAACGCUGCUGUUCACGGCAGUGUCACCUCCCCACGCCGGCGCCGGCUUCGACACUCACCGUUGUCGCCUCCCAACGCGAAGCCGACGUCCAGACGAAGAGGAGAAAGAGAGGGUUGAAGGAAGAGAGAAGGGAUAAGGUUUAAUGGGUUUCUUUCUCUUGUUUUCCGCGUUUUCAACUUUUUCUGGAUUUUUUACAGAAAACAUCCAAAACGCCAAUUUUGACGUUUUGUGUUUUCUUUACAUUUUUUGCUUUUGUUUUUGAAAAUUCGUUUUCGGAAACGGAAAAGAGAAUGCGUUUUCACUGUUUUCAAAAAUCGAAAAUAGAAAACGACUUGAAAACAGCAAAGAGAACAGGGCCUAAACUUGUGCUGCUUGUAAAUAAAAGCUACGUGGUCAGAGUCUUCCAUUAGCGUGCUUGUAAUGGUGUACUGAUUUCGUUAUGUAAUUUCAAUCAGGUCUUGAAUUUAGCUUUGCCUUGGAACUGCACAUGCAUUUGGCAGAUGGGAAAUGUACAAGGAUAACGAACUGUUUAUUCCUAAAUAUAUAGAAUGGAAAGAAUUUUGCUUCAGAUUUCUUUAGCUCGCCUUGCUGUAUACUGUAGUAGAUAGCAACUUUUACAAAGUUGCUUUCCCUUAUUUAAUGCUACCUAGGGGAGUGACUUUGUCCUAAUUAGUUUGUUUUAUUAAGAAUAGAUUAAAAGCUCUUCUAGAAUGAGGUUCGACUGGCUAUCGUUAUGAGUUGACAUUUUAUUUUCUGGACAGUUCAUUAUGAAGGCGUUCUUGCCGAAACUGGUGAGGUUUUUGAUACUACACAUGAAGAUAAUACCAUCUUCACCUUUGAACUGGGCCAGGGAUCUGUAAUUAAGGCCUGGGACAUUGCACUAAAAACCAUGAAGGUGAGUGAGUAUUCAUGCUUUCAAUAGCUAUUAUUGUAGUGUUUUUCUACCAUAACUUUAUUUUCUUGAUUUAAUUAGCUAUUAUUGUUGAAUUGUUGAGAAUAACCACCUAAUAUAAUUUGUCUUUUGAUGGUUUUUCUAGGUUGGUGAGGUUGCAAAGAUCACUUGUAAGCCAGAAUAUGCAUAUGGCAGCGCUGGUUCUCCACCAGAUGUCCCCCCAGAGUAAAUGGGUUUCUUCUUUAAUCUUGAUCUUGUUGCAUAAACGUAAUCUAUGAAAAAUUCCAUCAUAAACACCCGUUAUUCUAAGUUUGGAAAGAAAAGUAAACGCUUAUUAUUUUGAACAUUUUGUAACAUCUCGUUAGCAUGAAAAAUUGUGGGGAAUACUUGUAUGAAAAAACUUCCCUAAUUUAUUGUCCUCCUAAAUACAUAAGUUUAAUGUUAGGAAUGUUGAACCACCCAUUUUCCUUAACUACUAAUUAUUACUUGAACGUUCCUUUCAAUUAAACGUGGCUAUAUUCCUGAGUGGCAAACCAAGGGGGAAGACCGUCACUCCUCAGGAUUAGUUGGGCAAAACUCGAACGCUUGAGUCACAAAAAAAAAGAGGCUAUUUUCUAGAGGAGUUGAUAGAAAAUGAGUUGUCACUGAAGAGAAACAGGCAGUUGAAAGUUUCCGGAAAGGUUACAUUUUUGCAGGAAAAGACGAUAAAUGAUCAUUUCUUCUAUUUUUAAAUUUUCCACUAGCCCCACUGUUCGGAUGCUCAAGCUCAAUAUCAUGCAUAUUGCUUGUGUUUCUGUAUGGCAUUUUCAAUUCUUUUCCUGGAUGCCAAAUGCAUGAAAAAUUCAAAUAACUUCCCUUGACCUUCCUUUCUCUUGCCCAGCACCCAAG
rnacentral:lncRNA from 1 species